UGCGGUGGCGAUAGCACGAAGGCUACACAUGUUCCCAUGCCGAACACAGCAGUUAAGCUUCGUCACGCCAAGAGUAGUUGGGGGAU
rnacentral:rRNA from 1 species